UACCGAGGGUGCGAGCGUUAAUCGGAAUUACUGGGCGUAAAGCGUGCGUAGACGGUUAUUUAAGUCGGGUGUGAAAGCCCCGGGCUCAACCUGGGAAUUGCAUUCGAGACUGAAUAGCUAGGGUACGGUAGAGGGAAGUGGAAUUUCCGGUGUAGCGGUGAAAUGCGCAGAUAUCAGGAAGAACACCACUGGCGAAGGCAGCUCUCUGGGACGGUACUGACGCUGAGACGCGAAAGCGUGGGGAGCGAACAGG
rnacentral:rRNA from 1 species